UACGGAGGGUGCAAACGUUGCUCGGAAUCAUUGGGCGUAAAGCGCACGUAGGCGGUCCAGCAAGUCGGGUGUGAAAGCCCUCGGCUUAACCGAGGAAGUGCAUUCGAAACUGUGAGGCUCGAGUAUGGAAGAGGGUCGCAGAAUUCCCGGUGUAGAGGUGAAAUUCGUAGAUAUCGGGAGGAAUACCAGUGGCGAAGGCGGGUCUCUGGGCAGUAACUGACGCUGAGGAGCGAAAGCGUGGGGAGCGAACAGG
rnacentral:rRNA from 1 species